CGACCGGCGCACGGGUGCGUAACGCGUAUGCAACCUACCUAUAACAGGGGCAUAACACUGAGAAAUUGGUACUAAUUCCCCAUAAUAUUCGGAGAGGCAUCUCUCCGGGUUGAAAACUCCGGUGGUUAUAGAUGGACAUGCGUUGUAUUAGCUAGUUGGUGAGGUAACGGCUCACCAAGGCAACGAUACAUAGGGGGACUGAGAGGUUAACCCCCCACACUGGUACUGAGACACGGACCAG
rnacentral:rRNA from 1 species